GAUGAACGCUGGCGGCGUGCCUAAUACAUGCAAGUCGAGCGAACAGACGAGGAGCUUGCUCCUCUGACGUUAGCGGCGGACGGGUGAGUAACACGUGGAUAACCUACCUAUAAGACUGGGAUAACUUCGGGAAACCGGAGCUAAUACCGGAUAAUAUAUUGAACCGCAUGGUUCAAUAGUGAAAGACGGUUUUGCUGUCACUUCUAGAUGGAUCCGCGCCGCAUUAGGUAGUUGGUAAGGUAACGGCUUACCAAGGCGACGAUGCGUAGCCGACCUGUGAGGGGGAUCGGCCACACUGGAACUGGGACACGGUCCAGGCUCCUACGGGAGGCAGCAGUAGGGAAUCUUCCGCAAUGGGCGAAAGCCUGACGGAGCAACGCCGCGUGAGUGAUGAAGGUCUUCGGAUCGUAAAACUCUGUUAUGAGGGAAGAACAAAUGUGUAAGUAACUAUGCACGUCUUGACGGUACCUAAUCAGAAAGCCACGGCUAACUACGUG
rnacentral:rRNA from 1 species